UCUGGUCGAAUUCCUCCCCUCUCCUCUCUCCCAAAUCAUCCUCCUUGCUUUGGUGUUUGUAAGCCAUUAGAGGAGUGACAUUUGUGACUCUAGAAGCUCCAAGACCUCAAGAUCAACAAGGAACUCAAAGGUAUGAUUCUAGAUCUGUUUUAAUGUUCUUGUUUAACCUAAUUAGUAAUUAGAAGUCUUGGAUUCAAAGCAUGUUUAUUAGAAAGCCUAGAUCCAAGCAUUAGGGUUUUGCAUGCGCACAUAGGAAAGUUCUUAUGGCUAAAACCCAUCAGUGGUAUCAGAGCCUAGCUUGGUUUUCUGUAAAUUGUUGCUUGAUUAACUGAAACAAACCUGCAAAAUUCGAAUUUUUGGUUUCUGAGUCAUGGACUCGGCGAGUCUCAAAGUGGACUCGGCGAGUAGGCCUGACUCGGCGAGUCCAUUUGUGCACUCGGCGAGUCCAGGCGUCAGGAAUGGCCAGAUUCGGGAUUUCUUUGUGUUUAUCUUAUCUUAACUUACCAUAAACUAAUUAGAUCAACAUUAAUUCGUUUUUCUGAUAAAUAUAACUAUUAUCUUGAUCUAGUUAAAGGUAAUUAUCAACUAAUUAAAUAUUUAAUUUCCUUAUAUGAUAAUUAAUUAAUUAUUUUGAUUAUUUUGGUAAUUAUCUUUAAAAGAAAUCUUGAAUAAAUCAAAUAUAGAUAAUUAGGAUAUUAAUUGUUAAUUGGAAUUAUUUGUUAUUUGAUCCUCCAUGUUUUAAAUGUUUAAAACCUACCCUCAUGUUUUGAAAUUUACUUUUGUGAUUAAAAGUUUUAAUUUAGACAACUUAAAUUUCAAACCCUAGAUUUUAAAAGUUUUAAAAUACAACCCUAUACUAAUAUGAUAUUACUAGAAUAAUAUAUAUAUGUAUAACUAAAUGCUAGUCUUACCGUUAGUAGGCCUCAUUCACGAAGCCGAUCUAUAAGGUGGGUAUAAGGUUGCGGCCUAUAAAAUGGCGCUUAAUGGGUGUACACUCACACCCACCGCUUGCUUGAUUGGUGGAGGGUCGUUAGCCGAACGGGUAGGAUAGGGCAACCUCAUCCUCUCAUUAAAAGUAUAAUAAGAAAUAUAAAGUAACUACACAUUUUUUUAAAAUUUCCCAAUCCUAGUUACUUUAGGAAAAGUGAAUUGAUGCAAUCCCAUGAAAUUACACUUUGCACCUUGCUAAGAUGUUAGUGGAGCGUGUGUGGUUUACCGGCACACUAAUUGGUUCUAAGCGAAGGUGGCAAAGGGUGAUUCAUUGUUUAUCAUAGUUCGAUGGAGCGUGUGUGGUUUACCGGCACAUCGAAUAGGUGAUUGUUACAAUGAAGGCACCAUGUGAAUUUGCAUGGUAAUUCACACCCGCUUUGUGAUCCUCGGCAUCCCAGUCACAAACAAGAGGGGCAUAUCGAGAUUUAAACAUGCCAUUGAAUAGUUUCAAUGAAUCUCAUCCGAACCUAGGAAUUCUCAAAAACACUUAGGACUAAUAGUUUAAGUUUUGUGAUGGAGAAUUAGUGAAUCGUCAUUCACUUACCUUCAAUUUAUUUGCAUGUUAGAUUACGGCAUCCCUUUUCUAGUAUGUAAAUGUUAUUGUUGGAUCCUAGCCCUAAUUUUCUUAUUGGGUGAUAAUUAGGGAUUCUUAUUCUAAUCUAUCUUUGUCCUUUUCUAAUUGUAGAUGUCGAACGCAAACAACGCUGCUGCUAGUUCUUUCACGUUGAUGAGCCUUUGCCAAAAGGUCACCUUCGAUGGAACGAACUUUAGCGAAUGGAUAAGAUACAUUCGCACCAUUGCUCGCUAUGAGGAUAAGGAGUAUGUCCUCGAUGAGAAGCUCGAGAAAAUCAACCCCGAAAUUGCUACUCCCGCCGAAAUCACCGCCUUUGAAACUCAUGAGCGAGAUGCAACGAAGGUACAUUGCAUCAUGAUCGCCACCAUGAACUCCGAAUUCCAAAAGUCCUACGAGGACAUGUACCCGUACGAGAUGCAUCAAGACUUAUUGGAGAGGUACCACCAAAACGCGAGACAAGAGAGGUACGAGAUUUUCACUAACAUGAUUUCCGCGAAGAUGGGUCAUGGAGAAUCUCUUACCGUGCACUUGCAAAAGAUGCAAAGGUAUGUUGACCGCCUCCGCAAGUUAAAUGUUGACUUCGGUGAAGACUUGGCGAUCGACAUGGUGCUUCACUCUUUGCCUCCGAUGUACAACCAAUUUAGGAUGACCUACCACAUGAACAAAGAAGAGGUCACCCUAAGCAAGCUCCAAGGUCUCUUGAGGGUUGCUGAGAGCAACUUCAAAGACAAGUCUGUUGCACCUACUCCCAAUCCGCCCGCUGCUCCUGUCUUGGCUAUUGGACAAGGGAAGGGAAAGAAGAGGAAAGCUUCAUCGAAGAACUAUCGCAAGGUGAAAGCCCGAGAUGGUGCCUCUUCUAGUGGGACCAAAGUUGAUCCCGCCAAGCCCUGCUCUAACCCGAAGGAGGCAGAGUGCCACCACUGCCACAAGAUAGGACAUUGGAAGAGAAGCUGCCCGGAUUACCUGCAAGCAAUCAAAGAAGGAAAGAUCAAGCCAUCUUUCGCAGGUAUAUAUACAAUCAAAUCUAACGAUUCUAAUCAUGCUAUUUCUUGGGUUCUUGAUACCGGUUGUGGUUAUCACAUUUGUUCUAAUGUGCAGGGACUAAGAAGAAGUAGGGAUGUGGAGCAAGGAAGGAUCAAUCUAAUCAUGGGGAACAGAAGAUCGUCGCCUGUGACCAAGAUUGGAGUGUAUUCCUUAGUGCUUAGGAAUAGUUUAGUUUUAGAUUUGAACAAUUGUUGCUAUUCGCCAGAAAUGGCAAGAAACAUCAUUUCAUUUCAUGGUUUAUAUAGACAAGGAUUUAGAUUUUCUUUUAAUAAUGAGAAUGGUUCUAUUUUGGCUUAUCUAAAUGGUGUCUUUUACUUUGAAGCUAUACCAUGUAAUGGAAUAUAUGAAACCGUUAUGAUUGUUGAUAACUUAGGAAAUGAUGUUUUGAAUAUUGAUUCUUCCACUAGUAUGGAUAAAGCAUCCUUGUGGCAUUGUCGUCUUGGACAUGUCAACAAGAAACGCAUAGCCCAACUCCAAAAGGAUGGAGUGUUGGAGUCAUUCGACCUUAGGGAAGAUGACACAUGCGAGUCUUGUUUGCUUGGAAAGAUGACUAAGUCACCCUUCACGAGUACAUGUGAAAGGGGCGAGGGUCUAUUGGACCUAAUACAUACCGAUGUAUGUGGACCGUUUAGAUCAACCACGAAGGAUGGGAACCGCUUCUAUGUGACUUUUACCGAUGACUAUAGUAGAUAUGGGUAUAUCUACUUAAUCAAGCAAAAGUCAGACACCUUUGAAAAGUUCAAAGAGUUCAAGAAUGAAGUGGAGAAUCAAUUGGGCAGGAAAAUCAAGAUGCUUCGAUCCGAUCGAGGAGGAGAGUACCUAAGUCUUGAAUUCCACGAUUAUCUCAAGGAGUGUGGAAUAGUUUCGCAAUUGACGCCUCCUAGGACACCGCAGUUGAAUGGUGUGGCAGAAAGGCGUAAUCGAACCUUAUUGGAUAUGGUUCGCUCUAUGAUGAGUCGUGCUUCACUACCUAUCUCUUUUUGGGGGUAUGCCUUAGAGACUGCCGCCCAUAUCCUUAACCGAGUCCCUACUAAGAAGGUUGCCAAAACACCUCACGAGAUGUGGACAGGGAAAGCUCCCUCGUUGGCACAUAUCAAGGUUUGGGGUUGCGAGGCUUUCGUAAGACGAGAUACUCACGACAAGCUUGAACCUCGAAGUGAGCGAUGUAUUUUCAUCGGCUACCCGCAGACAUCCUUUGGAUAUCUCUUCUAUAGACCGAAGGACAAUGUUGUCUUCGUUGCGAGGAGAGGAGUUUUCCGAGAGCGAGAACUCAUAAGCCAAGGAGACAGUGGGAGGCAAAUCGAGCUUGAAGAGAUUCAAGAGUCGAUAGAUGAAGGAACCUCUACCGCUGGCACUCAACCCGAGGAGGAAACUCCGGUUGAACCGAUUGACGAAUCCUUACCUCUUAGACGUUCCGAUAGAGUUAGAGUUCAACCCCAGUUUUAUGGUUUUCAUAUUACUACCGAAGGGGACACGUAUAUUAGUGAUGGUACACUAAUAAAUCUUGAUGAACCUAAUAGCUAUAAGGAAGCCAUGGCAGGCCCGGAGUCUGCAAAAUGGAAAGAGGCAAUGGAUAGCGAGAUCCAAUCCAUGUAUGAUAACCAAGUUUGGAAUUUGGUUGAUUAUGUGCCCGGACGUAAGACCGUUGGGUGCAAAUGGAUCUUCAAGAAGAAGACCGACGUGGAUGGAAACGUACACACAUAUAAAGCGCGAUUGGUUGCGAAGGGCUUUACUCAAACUCCCGGAGUUGACUAUGAUGAGACCUUCUCACCAGUUGCGAAGAUUAAAUCUAUUAGAGUGAUGCUAGCAAUUGCCGCAUUUCAUGAUUAUGAGAUUUGGCAAAUGGAUGUCAAGACCGCUUUCCUUAACGGAAAGUUGGCUGAGGAUGUUUACAUGGCUCAGCCAGAGGGGUUUGUGGAUCCGAAGCAUCCGAAUAGAGUGUGUAAGCUUGAGAAGUCCAUUUAUGGACUUAAGCAAGCGUCUCGCAGAUGGAAUCUUUGCUUCGAUGAGAAAGUCAAAGAGUUUGGAUUUGUACGAAGCGAAGACGAAUCUUGUGUAUAUGUCAAAGCCAGUGGGAGUAUAGUAAGCUUCCUCGUUCUAUAUGUCGAUGACAUAUUACUCAUAGGAAACGACAUCCCGACUCUGCAGGAGGUAAAGUCCUGGCUCGGGAAGUGUUUCGCUAUGAAGGACCUCGGAGAGGCUUCUUACAUUUUGGGAAUAAGGAUAGUAAGAGAAAGAAGUAAGAGACUAAUUGGACUUAGUCAGAAUACUUACUUAGAGAAGGUACUAAAACGUUUUAGUAUGGAAAACUCAAAGAAGGGAGAACUACCGAUACAAAGUAAUGCCAAAUUGAGUAAGACUCAAAGUCCGAGUACCGAAGCUGAGAUAGCAGAAAUGAGCCGAGUACCAUACGCUUCCGCAGUUGGCUCAAUCAUGUACGCUAUGACUUGUACUCGCCCUGAUGUAGCCUUCGCUUUGAGCAUGGUUAGCAGAUAUCAAGGGAAUCCUGGCAAAGCACAUUGGAUUGCGGUGAAGAAUAUCCUUAAGUACCUUCGGAGGACGAAGGAAUGGUUCUUAGUCCUCGGAGGGAGUGAUGACUUGAAGGUGCGAGGGUAUAGUGACGCCAGUUUUCAGACCGACAGGGACAACUACCGUUCGCAGUCGGGCUGGGUCUUUACCCUAAAUGGAGGAGCAGUGACAUGGAAGAGUUCCAAGCAGGAAACCGUAGCUGAUUCAACGUGCGAAUCAGAGUACAUUGCAGCGAGCGAAGCGUCGAAGGAGGCAAUAUGGCUAAAGAACUUCAUCGGUGAUCUUGGAGUCGUACCUGCCAUAAAGGAGCCAAUGGAGAUUUUCUGUGAUAACGAAGGUGCGGUUGCCUUAACCAAGGAACCGAGGGAUCAUGGUAGAUCAAGACAUAUCGACAGAAAGUAUCACUUCAUUAGACAUCGUGUAGAAGAAGGACAACUCGUAGUGAAGAGGAUAUCAUCAGAAGAUAACCCAGCAGAUCCGCUUACGAAGGGACUGAGUAGGGUUAAGCACUUGCAGCAUGCUAGGAGUAUUGGGCUGAAGGAUGAUAUUAGCAUAGAUUAGAUAGUAUUAGAAACGUGUAAUAGAUAAAUGUAAUUGACAUUUGAUGAUUAAAUAAAGGAGUUUUAUUUAUGAGUAAUGUUACUAUCUUAUGUUAAUUGUUUAGCUAUUGUUUCACUUUGCAUGUUUUGACUUCCAGAAUAAUUGAGGUUAUUAGGAAUAAUCGAAUUAUUCAAAUGGUCCACAAUCGUUCAUAUGUUGGAAGUAGAUAUGAAAGAAGAUUGUCAUGAAUUGGUGUGUAGAAUGUCUAAAUGGUGUUAGACAUAGCAAAGGAUUGCUGCAACGUUCAUGAGUGCUUAUGAACUAGUUUUGAGCAUUGGAAUAAACCCGCGCUUGCUGGAAUCACCUUAUGGAAUACGAUAUAAAAGGUGAUCGCAAGACGAUAAUAUCAUAUAGUCUUAAAACCUAGAUAUAUGGUUUAUUAUUUGUUAAUUGAUUGUACAUUGAUAAUACGAAAACGCAUCAGUAACUUGGUGUUAUAAAACGUAUUGUUGUGUAUAGUUGGUUAAUGAAUAAGUAAAUGCAUAUAAGUCGAAGUUUAUCUGUAACUUUUAUCUAAGAAGGUAAAAGCGAUAUCUCGGCCGCUCGAUGAUUUGAUUUGACUUAUGUGCCGGGCCCGGUCAGAACUGAAUUGAUGUGUUCGAUUAAGUUCUAUGUCAAAUAAAUCAGAGAUCGAGAAACCUAAAUGCUUGACUAACCAUUCCAUAGGAUUGUCAGCAUGAUAUCUAACAGAGGACUGUACGUUCCCUUAUCUAAAGGACAAGAUUGAUUAGAUCAGAGUUGACAGCGUCUUUGAGAGCUACGAUUGCAAACCGAAUUGUACUUGUAUAGUUACUAGACUUAUCCAAGUGGGAGACUGUUGGAAUAGUGUCUAAGGCUGUAACUAUAUCCGGUUGUGCAUGGUCCUUUUGGGUUGCCUUCACCAUAGCAACUUGAUAGGAUGAUUUAUUAAGAGAGAAUAAAUAUUAUUAAUAUAUUAUGGGAAUAAUAUAAUGAAUAAUAUAUUUGUUAUUUGAUUAAUAUAAGUCAUAGAAUUAAUUAGAAUUAAUUUGGUGACUUAAAGAGAUUAAUUAAAUAAAGGGGUAUAAACUGUCAAUUGUUUGAUAGUUAAGCUUUAGACUGUAAAUCCAUUUGGAUAUACUUUGGACGGAUUCUAAGAGCCUUAGGAAAGCUAAAAUCGUCCAUAUGCUUAUCUAGGAAUGGAUUUGGAUAGCCUUAAGAGAAGAUUAUCUGAUAGGGACUUAUCUGUAAUCAUUAAGGAAUCUACAAGUAUAAAUAGACCCCAUGGGAUAGGGAAUUCGACAUUUCUGGAAAAAGCAAGAGAACUCUGGUCGAAUUCCUCCCCUCUCCUCUCUCCCAAAUCAUCCUCCUUGCUUUGGUGUUUGUAAGCCAUUAGAGGAGUGACAUUUGUGACUCUAGAAGCUCCAAGACCUCAAGAUCAACAAGGAACUCAAAGGUAUGAUUCUAGAUCUGUUUCAUUGUUCUUAUUUAACCUAAUUAGUAAUUAGAAGUCUUGGAUUCAAAGCAUGUUUAUUAGAAAGCCUAGAUCCGAGCAUUAGGGUUUUGCAUGCGCACAUAGGAAAGUUCUUAUGGCUAAAACCCAUCACACAUACCUUUCUUGC
rnacentral:lncRNA from 1 species